AUUGAACGCUGGCGGCAGGCCUAACACAUGCAAGUCGAGCGGAUGAAGGGAGCUUGCUCCUGGAUUCAGCGGCGGACGGGUGAGUAAUGCCUAGGAAUCUGCCUGGUAGUGGGGGAUAACGUCCGGAAACGGGCGCUAAUACCGCAUACGUCCUGAGGGAGAAAGUGGGGGAUCUUCGGACCUCACGCUAUCAGAUGAGCCUAGGUCGGAUUAGCUAGUUGGUGGGGUAAAGGCCUACCAAGGCGACGAUCCGUAACUGGUCUGAGAGGAUGAUCAGUCACACUAGAACGGAGACACGGUCCAGACGCCUACGGGAGGCAGCAGUGGGGAAUAUGGGACAGUAGGCGAAAGCAUGAUCCAGCCAGGCCGCGUGUGUGAAAGAGGUCUUCGGAGUGUAAAGCACGUUAAGUUGGGAGGAAGGGCAGUAAGUUAAUACCUUGCUGGUUUGACGUUACCAACAGAAGAAGCACCGGCUAACUUCGUG
rnacentral:rRNA from 1 species